rnacentral:rRNA from 1 species
GAUGAACGCUGACAGAAUGCUUAACACAUGCAAGUCAACUUGAACUUCGGUUUGGGUGGCGGACGGGUGAGUAACGCGUAAAGAACUUGCCUCACAGCUAGGGACAACAUUUGGAAACGAAUGCUAAUACCUGAUAUUAUGAUUUUAGGGCAUCCUAGAAUUAUGAAAGCUAUAUGCGCUGUGAGAGAGCUUUGCGUCCCAUUAGCUAGUUGGAGAGGUAACGGCUCACCAAGGCGAUGAUGGGUAGCCGGCCUGAGAGGGUGAACGGCCACAAGGGGACUGAGACACGGCCCUUACUCCUACGGGAGGCAGCAGUGGGGAAUAUUGGACAAUGGACCAAGAGUCUGAUCCAGCAAUUCUGUGUGCACGAUGAAGUUUUUCGGAAUGUAAAGUGCUUUCCGUUGGGAAGAAAAAAAUGACGGUACCAACAGAAGAAGUGACGGCUAAAUACGUG